rnacentral:rRNA from 1 species
CAGCGUCAGUUACGGUCCAGGAGAGUUGCCUUCGCCAUUGGUAUUCCUCAUGAUAUCUACGCAUUUCACCGCUACACCAUGAAUUCUACUCUCCUCUCCCGUACUCCAGUUUAAAGUUUUGAAUGCAGUUCCCAGGUUAAGCCCGGGGAUUUCACACCCAACUUGUCAAACCGCCUACGCGCGCUUUACGCCCAGUAAUUCCGAUUAACGCUUGGACCCUCCGUAUUACCGCGGCUGCUGGCCCCCCGUGCCCCCGCCACGCCCGCC